UGUACCACGUCCCAUAGAAAUUUCUCUCUCUAUACUUUGGUUCAUUCAUACCUUCUUUUUCUUGUUGGCUGUUCGUUUGUCUUUUUCUGUUAAUUUGAACCCUACACAACGAAAGGCAAAAGCAAAAAUUGGUGGCUCUCUCUCUCAAGCUUUCAUCUUUCAACCAACAGGUUUACAACUCUCUCUCUCUCUCCCUCUCUCUAUCUUUUGACCUCUCUUCCAAUUUCACACAGACUAUCACUGUAUCUCUUGAAUUGCUGUGCAUUUUCUUUGAUUUGAAGAUCUUUCCAAAGCCUUGACUUAUGAUUGCUUGACGAUGAGAGAGAGCACGCUUGUCAUCAUUCAUGCAUGAGGCAUGAUUAUAUACAGGAGUGCUCUCUAUCGUCGUCAUGCUAUUUGCUUGCUAGGACUUACUUUCCUCUUCAUUUGUGCUUCCUUGCAUAUGUGCCAGCAGGUGAUUAUAAUAUUUAUUUUUUUAACCUCUAGCUUGGAGUUGGUUUUACCUAAAUUGUUCUCGUAAGUGGAAAGAUUUGUCCUUGGGCAAUGGUGAAAGGCACCAAUUAAAAAGAACAGAGAAGAGAAGACGGUCAAAGAGAGGAGAAUACAGAGAGAAUGGAGAGAGGAAAACAGAGAGGGGGAUAGACGAAGUUGAUCGAAGCAGAGAGAAGAGAGAGAUGAAGAUGAUCGAAAUCGAGAGAAGAGACAAACGAAGAGAACAAUCAAGAGUAAGAGAGAGAGAGAAGAAGACAGUUUGAGAGAAGAUCGAAUCCCUAAUCACAGGAUGGAAGCCCUAAUCUCGCAAUUUUCGUAGCCCUAAUCGCAGGAUCGGAUGUCCAAGCAGCAGAUUGGGACUGAUCGUAGAGUUGGAGACUUUUAAGUGGUGGAAAGCUUGCAUCUGCCUAUGACAACUUCUCCAAUUGCUUUUUUCUCUUUUCAUGGAUAGCAUCUGAGCAGUCCGACCCAAUGGAUUGAACUGCAUGCAGUUGGGUGAUCUGGUCUGUUUCAGCAUCAUGCUUGAGGUAUUUUGCUGAUACUGAAAAAAUAGGCUAAUGCUUUAUUGCUCUAAGAAUCUGGUUAUGUUCUUCAAUUGGUUUUGUGACAGUAGACUCUGUGCUUCUAGGUUUUAUUCUUAUGCUUUAGGUAAAUUAUCAAUGCAGAAAAAAUCAGGUGAGUUAAAAAGGCUUGUACACGAGGGGAGUAUUUCUCGUGCUUCAUUAAUUCUCUUUAAGGAUUCGAUUCUUGUUUUUUCAUAAUUGAGGCUCAAUUUUGUUUCAAUGGUUUUAUUCCUCAUUGGACUAAAUCUUCUGUUACCACUAGUUUUGCUUAUUGAUUUAUUCACACAGCUAUGUUUGAUUUGAGAUUAUCUUAAUUCUAUUUCAGACCCAUUGACCAUUAUCAAUAACACCACUAUAAAGUUUUUGAUUUCUCAGGUAACCCUUUUUGUAAAAACCAGUCAAGUUUCAGUUACAAGCUAGCUAUGUCAUGUAGAGUUUUGGAUAUCGGUUGAAGCACUCCACAAAAAUGAAGAACUCAGAACAAGGAUAUAAUGGUCUAUCCGGGAAGGGAUGACAAUAGGUGGAAAAAGAAGAAUUCUUCCAAAGAUUUGGCCUGAAAGGUGUGUGAAAAUCGUUGUCGAGCAAACAAUACAGCGUGUUUGAUAAAAAUCUGCUAUUAUGCUCGAGUAAUGCACAAAUGAGAACGUCUGUGACUACAUGAUUUAAACAAUUGUUUUGUGAUUUGAUAUCAUGAUGGUAAGCAAGAAAUGAUC